AGCCUCCUUCCUCCCCAAGAACUAGGGUUUAACGUUUUGGCUCUUCUCUAGCACGAAGAAGGCACUACUUUUGGUGGCGCAAGGCUACUGUGUUGCGCGAGAGAAGAUUUGGUUGCGAGGAAGAUGAUGGAGGCGUAAGGGUUUCUCAAUCUCGUUUCUAGGCUCAAGUUGAGGCUUGAGGGAGAUAGUGGUUCACGAGGAGGCGUUGAAGAGGCUUUGGAUCUGUUCUAGGCGUGGUUCACGUCUAGGUGGCUUGCUAGAACUGGUUAUGUCACGAUGGUGGCUAGAUGAUGCGACACUUAAUGCUGAGAAUGUUGAACAUGAUGAGGGUUAUAGAAAAAAUAAAUGGGCAAAGAUUAAGCAGUGCCAAGUGUUGGGAUUUUUGACCAACUGGAAGGUUGACAACAUGGUAAGAAUCAUUUUAUAUCUUAAUGUUUUAUUUAUAGGUGUAGGAUGAAUGUAUUAAGCAUUUUAUGUUUAUGUCAUGUUUGUUGCAAGCACUUUUAUGUACAUGGAACAGAGGAUGUAAAAACUUGUGAAUAUGAUUGUCUUUGGUCCUUAAUAUAUAGUAUAAGUAAUGGUAUAAGUUAUUUAGUUAUUUUCUUUUUCAUUUUUAUUGCAACCCAUGUUGUUAACUUGUAUGGACAU